UGCUCAGGAUGAACGCUGGCGGCGUGCUUAACACAUGCAAGUCGAACGAUGAAGCCCAGCUUGCUGGGUGGAUUAGUGGCGAACGGGUGAGUAACACGUGAGUAACCUGCCCUUAACUCUGGGAUAAGCCUGGGAAACUGGGUCUAAUACCGGAUAGGAGCGUCCACCGCAUGGUGGGUGUUGGAAAGAUUUAUCGGUUUUGGAUGGACUCGCGGCCUAUCAGCUUGUUGGUGAGGUAAUGGCUCACCAAGGCGACGACGGGUAGCCGGCCUGAGAGGGUGACCGGCCACACUGGGACUGAGACACGGCCCAGACUCCUACGGGAGGCAGCAGUGGGGAAUAUUGCACAAUGGGCGCAAGCCUGAUGCAGCGACGCCGCGUGAGGGAUGACGGCCUUCGGGUUGUAAACCUCUUUCAGUAGGGAAGAAGCGAAAGUGACGGUACCUGCAGAAGAAGCACCGGCUAACUACGUGCCAGCAGCCGCGGUAAUACGUAGGGUGCGAGCGUUAUCCGGAAUUAUUGGGCGUAAAGAGCUCGUAGGCGGUUUGUCGCGUCUGUCGUGAAAGUCCGGGGCUUAACCCCGGAUCUGCGGUGGGUACGGGCAGACUAGAGUGCAGUAGGGGAGACUGGAAUUCCUGGUGUAGCGGUGGAAUGCGCAGAUAUCAGGAGGAACACCGAUGGCGAAGGCAGGUCUCUGGGCUGUAACUGACGCUGAGGAGCGAAAGCAUGGGGAGCGAACAGGAUUAGAUACCCUGGUAGUCCAUGCCGUAAACGUUGGGCACUAGGUGUGGGGACCAUUCCACGGUUUCCGCGCCGCAGCUAACGCAUUAAGUGCCCCGCC
rnacentral:rRNA from 1 species